AACAGUAGUACGUAGUAUAGUACCUGGCCGGACUCAUGGAGCUGCAUUGCAUGCCCACACGCGCGAACAUCGAUCUACUGUGUGGGAUGUGGCCGCUUCCACCCCCGGUCCGGUCGACCGUCGCUCUGGGUCGUCGGCGACGCGCGCACGGCAUGCAGUCCCGACACGAGCACGCCGCGGCACACGGGGGCCCGAACGAAAGGCGGGGCGCGACCUACCGCGGGAAGCUGGCGUAAAUGCAAUGCAGAGGCCGGUGGUCACCACGGACGGACGGACGGACGGG
rnacentral:lncRNA from 1 species